UAACAAAGCUCAGGGAUAAUGUAGCACAUGAUGAGAGUAAAUGAAGAGUGUUUUACUUUAGAUUUGGUGGCCUGCCCUUUCCAGCAUCUUGCAAACUGAAUCUCUCUUUCUGACUCCCAAUCUCCCAGGCAUCCUGUCAGGACAGUGUCAGAUGAGGGACGUUGUCACCUCUUUGCCAUUUUAUCACUUCAACCACAUUAUCCCUUUCAAUAAUUAGACUGUGCCUUCUUUGAGGAAGCAUUUUGACUUCAGCUGUUGAAAGUUUAUGUGAAUGGUUCCUGUAGAAUUCUCAUUCAACAGAGGGCGCCCUACAAGAUGAUAAGUAAUCUUCUACAGUCACAUGGACAAGGACUUGCCUAUGACUUUAGCUGUGCAGGACUAGAGAAAGCAAGAGAAAGCAAUGCUGGGAAGUGCAGGUGUGAGGCAUUGCUCCAGGCAGGUCUACUUCCUUCUGGAAUCUAGAGAUAUAGCAUAGGUCAUGGAAGCAACCUCUGAAUUGUUCUCUUGACAGAAAGGUGGAGAGUGAGAUCUUCAGUGAGAAGUGAAAUCAAAUUUGUUAGUGAUCAAAAGGACAAGAGAGAUCCAUGUGUUGGAAACAACUGGUGCCAAUGAGGCCUCUCGGCUAACCCCCUAAGCAAAUUGCAGUCUCCAUGCAAUAUCAGCUUCUCAGUCCAUCAAAUUGCAGUAGUCAAGUCUGGAGCUGACGGGAGCAUGAGUCACCACUUAAUUUUCUCAUCAGUGGAGGCCAAGUUUUCAAAAUAGUUUUAGAUGCAUUUCCACAGAGAUUUUUGUGAGCCAGCGACCUACAGAGUGACAAGAAAAUGAGCAAUAGCUGCUGCUGAAUCAGCCUCUGCUCCCUGCCACCUACCCUCCUGACCACAGUUUUGGGCAGGGAGGGAAGGUGAGUCAAAGGCCUUUGGAAUUGCUGUGCAGAAAAGAGCCCAGCACAACACCUGGAUUUGUUGAGAAACAAAAUAACCUGUGAAUUCUUAGACUGUCUGGUAGGUUCAAAUGAACCCUGACUGUGUAGCUUGCCCUGACCAGAAGCAGGCAUGAGAUUAGAAAUUGGUUGUGAUCCCUGCUCAGAGAGGCAGCCAACACCCAGCAGCUGCAGCACACAGAAGAGGCCACGCAUCUCCUGAGGAUCCCGUGCUGGUGCGUAUUUAUUGUUCACUCUUUACCUGUGUUAAAAUUGCCACCUGGCACAACGAUUUUUCAGCCAGUUAAGAAGAAUUAAAAAAGUCCCUGAGUGGUCUCCUCUGUGGGUGGGCUCCAUCUAGUAUAAUAAUCACAAAAUCAAAGGCUUGCAGACAUUAGCAUGGUGGGGUUGGUUCAUCUCUGUAAGAGAAAAUAUUUGUGGUCAGUUUUCUUACAAAGUGAUUCAAAAUUCGAAGGGAAAUCAACUGCCUUAAAAGGGAAGAAAAUGACCUUCCUUGAAGUAAAGACAAUUUAAUUGAUAAAAUUAAAAUUAAAAAAAUUAUGGAGGUCAUGUAAAAGGUAAAAAAUUAUGGAGGUCAUGUAAAAGACUGGCCUUUUACCAAAAUAAAUGCAGGAAAUAAAAUUUGAGAGCCCUGUGACAAUAACUGAGUAUGAAAUUCUAUUGACAAAAGCUUUUGCAGUUCUGUGUUCCCUCUGUUUCUUAGCAGUGUGACUGCAGUCCAUCCCUGUUGGUGUCCUUUGUCUGCUGCAGUGCCCAUACCCAAGAUGUUACAAAAUGAUUUUAUUUCCUAAUGCCUUCCAUGUGUAGUUUUGCCACUUCUUGUCAACACUGUUUGAUGAAACACGUGAUAAAAUGUCUUUUUUCCUAUCUUCAAUCUAAAUAUCCCCCCUUUUUUUUUUUUUUUAACUUUUCCCAGUUAGCUGUCCCUAACAUGUGUCUCACCAAGUUGAUGCUCUCAUCUGCUCUCCAAGCUCUCUUAGAGGGUCCAUACUGUAGCCAAGAAACCAGGGCAGCUUUCCAAGAUGCUGCCUGGGGAAGCAGAACUCAGCUUUUUGUGCUGACACUGAAGAACAAGAACUUUGCCCAUGCAAAUUAUGAUUCCUGUGUUCUUCAUUAGGACUCGCAGCUCCCCUGGAAGGAAACACCCGCAUGCGCACGGGCCUGCAGCUCACUGCUUUAUCCAUUAUAGUCACUGUCCAUCGUUUGGGCAAUCCCAUACCACUGUUGAUACAUUUUGCCAAGUUCUCCAGCAAAUUCUUGCUUGUCCUGUUUCAUAAUAUUGUUUUAAGUUAGAGACAUUUUGGGAGAACCUCUAUUUUUCUGUAUAAAAAUUGCAAAAAACAAUCUUUUUUUAAAUUUAUUUUAGGUCACUUUUUGUCUGAAAAAUUAACUGUAAUUUCCAAAUAGUGGCUCAGGACUAAAAAAGAUGCAUGUACUCUGUUUGCCUCACACAUUCACUCUGCCCCAUCCCCAAACCAUACACUCUUUCAGGUACCUCACAGAGAGUUGCCUAGAGCCCUUUUUAGAAAACAGCUACAACAUCUGCUUAGGUCCAAUUCCCUGAUAAAUAAAAUAUAUCCCAGAGGCAUAAUAGCAUACUAAAAAUAAGAGUAUGACACAAUUUCAGCCAGCUAAUAUGGUAACUCUCUCUGAUGCAGCUCACGGAGUGUUAAUGUGAGAAGCCUGUAUCUUUCCAGCUUGGCUGUCUGGUGGCGUCGUGCAUGGAUCUCUCCCCGAGCCAGAGCCAAAUACCACAGCAUGAGCAGCAGUAUGGGAGCAGUACUGUGCCACCCUGUGCUCACAGGCUUCCUGCUUUCUGGCCUCUCCAAAUGUAAAAAAAUAGUGGAAUAUGUGAGAUUUUGCAUGAGUCAGGGGAACAGAACAGAAGUGUUGCUGUCUGUGGAGCCCGACUGUUAUCGUGCUUCUGUUCAGGUAACAAGUAUUUGAGAUAUGAAACAUCAAUGUGUAACCUCUCUGAUUACAAAAGGCAUAAAGAGUUGUGUAGAGCUGUACUACAAAGAGCUAUCAAUGUUCCCAAAUAAUCCCAUUUUAAGUGUCUGUUGAGACAUUGUUCAAAAAACAAGAAAACUCAAAUCUUGCUGGUAUUGGUUUUUUUGAAAGAUUUUUAGGUAGUAGUUGGUUUUUUUAAAAAAGUAAGGUGCAUAGUCCAUGUAGAAAAACACUUUUCCAUGUAUAUCAUGAUGUAUGUUAAACCAUUACUUUCUAGGCUCUAUGAUUUAAUAUUUUACAAAUAUUUAGGAAUCUAUUUUGCUUAUCUAAUACUCUACUUUCAAUAGCAAACUCUCUUUGCUAAGUCAUCCCAUUUGAAAUUUUAGCUUUGGUACAUGUAAAAAUAUGUUUCAGUGUAUUGCCAGCAGGAGCUUUCUAUGUUUAAAAAAAUUAAUUUAGUGAGAAAUUUCAGUAUUUUCCAAUCCUAGUGAAACUAAAAUUUAGUUUGUUUAGAUGGCAUAGUGGUAUUCUUUGAAAAGCUGCUGCUUUGAAUGUGCUAGGAAUUUUUUGUCAGAAGCCCUAGUUUAGAAGUUUAUUGUCUUAGUAACAGAAUACUGGCUCUGAACAAUCCCAGAAGCAUAAUACAUUAGCAGAAGGAAAACAGUAUUUAUAUCCAAUAAUUCACCUGUUAUAAAUUAUGACUGUAAAGAAAAAGUGUUCCUUUUUAAACCUUGCUGCCAGAUUCUGGUUUCAGCGAUGCUGAGUAAGGUAAGUAAUGUUCUUUUGAUUAACAGUCAAGCCUUGAGUGGUUUUCAUUUAAAGAAGACUUUAUUAAGCUUUUUUCUCAAAUUCAUCUUUUUUGUUCUGUUUUGAACAGACUUCCAUCUGAAGAAAUCUCUCAGUGACUUUUUAGCCUACAUUAAAUCCCCACUGACAAACAGAUGAGAAUUAUUAUUAAUUUGCUCCAGAAAGAACUAAUAGGCUUUGCCAAAUAAAUCAUGCUGAUCACUAAGUGUGCUAUUCAUCUCUUCUGCAGAUUAUUGCUUAAAAGCCAUGAUAGUUGUCCUUUAAAAAUAAAAAGUCAAAUAAGUCUUUUGACUUGAAGUAAAAAAUUUGGACUGAUGGUUGUCUUGGUCCUGACUAUUUUUUUUUUUUUGCAGUUUGGAAAAUGAAAGGGCUGGUGAGCAUGGAUUCUCGGUGAGUGUGGAUUCUUAGCUUCUAGGAAACUUGACCACACGUGGAGACUGGAGGUAACCGGUGAGUGUUAAUGAAUGGUUCAGUUAUUUAUCCCUGCCCAGUAGUACGAGCGCCCCAAGUCUUCUGAGAAGCCAGAAACCACCAGCAGAGUUGAACUCCUUCACAUCACCUUUGCCAGCGUGUGUCCGUGUGUCUGUCUGUGUGUCACAGUCCAGGGCCCAGCCCAGGUCCUGAAGUAUUCAAGUAUCUUCCACAGUUUCAGUUCCUUCUGUUUUGGAAGUAGUAGAUACUUUGUGCUCCUCUUGUCUUUCAAGAGUACAAUGUAGGUAAUUAUGUGAUAACUUAUUAGCAGUUUGUUGAUUUGAGCUUAGUUGGUACAGUCACUUGUGACUCUGCAGCACAUGCUUCAUCAUCUCUUUGAUUUUUUCCUAAUUAAUUGAAGAGUCUGAUCAUCCACUUCCAACUAGUUUUUAAGUACCCUCAAUUAUUUUUUUGUUUGGGAAUUGAUUUAGAGUGGGAACAUGUCUCAGCUAAUUGCAAGACAUAAUACUACAAAAUUAUAUGAAUUAACAAAUACUAAUAUGUACUUAGCAUCUAUCCUAGAUACCAAUGUUUAUACACACACACAGAGGAUGCUGCUACAGGCUGAAAUUAGAAGACAGCAACAAUGUAGAUUAUCCAAAGUCAGUAUUUCUCUAGUAAAAUUCAGAUCAGCAUGAGGCAUUUAUCCCAUUCAGAUAGGCUGUCCAGCAUCUUCACCAAUAACAGGACUUUCUAGAUGACCCUUAUGCCAGUAGAAGUUGUGGUUCUAGCUGAUACUACUGAAUUAACAUUCCUUGUGAGGUAUUUCUCCAAAUGCUUUGACCACAUAUUUUUAAUUUCUCCUGUUUGUUAUUAAAAUGAUGCAUUAUAAAUUUGCCAAGUCAUGCAAAGCAGCACCAUUUCGUAUCUUGGAUACACCACAAAUUUUCACAGGAAAAAAUAUGUUUAGAAACACUAGAGCUGUUGGAACGUUAAUUGUUGUUAUUGUUGUUAUUAAUUGUUGUCUUUCAGUAUCUUCCAUCCUUGAAGUUUAGCUACCUCAUAAUAUCAAAAACCCAUCUGUACAGGUACCAGAAAACAAACAAACAAACAAACAAAAUAAGAAAAGUAGGAGAGAGGAGGAGGGGAGGAAUCCAUGUGUGGUGUUUAGUGGCUUUUUUACUCAGAAUAUUGUACCUUCAUAAAUAAUUAAAUGUCUCUUCUUUUUAAAAUAUAUUGAGCUUUUAUUUUUACAUGGAUGGAUUUUACAACACCAGAAAUUCAGCCUCUCACUGAGAAGAAAAGGUGAUCAGAAGAAUGGAAAUACUAUUCAGGCAGGGCCUGAGCACCCUCAUCCUGCAAGCAGCAGUGCCUACAAGAAAGCUGGAGGGGGACUUUUUCCAAGGGGGGACCUGCGGGGUCCGGCCCACGACUUCUGAUGAGGACCAAGGCAAGACCCGUGUUGUGGGUGGCACAAGUGCCCAGGAAGGAGCCUGGCCCUGGCUCGUCAGCAUCCAGGAUCCUGAGAUACCAGGCACGGGUCAUCUGUGCGGAGGGUCCCUCAUCAGCACACGGUGGGUCCUCACAGCGGCCCACUGCUUCGUCGAUAUCAGAAACAUCAGCACUUUGCGUGUGGUGAUCGGGGCCACCCAGCUGACCGAGCUGGCCGCUGGGGCUGAAGUGCGCGAGGUGGCGCGGCUGCUGGUUCAUGAGGACUACAACGCUGCUGACCAGAGCAACGACAUCGCGCUGCUGGAACUUGACCGGCCUGCCGAGUGCAACCUCUACAUCCAGCUGGGCUGUGUGCCCAAUGGCACGGUGGAUGUGUCAGAGCUGGACAUCUGCUACGUCGCUGGUUGGGGUGCCACCACUGCAAGAGCUCAAAAAUCGAGCGAUGUCCUGCAGGAGGCCCAGGUCCACCUCAUUGAUGUCCAGCUCUGUAACAGCAGUGAUUGGUAUGCAGGGGAUGUCCACACCCACAACUUGUGUGCUGGUCAUCCAGAGGGAGGCAUCGACACCUGCCAGGGUGACAGCGGUGGUCCUCUCAUGUGCAAAGACAAUGACGCUGACAACUUCUGGGUUGUUGGAGUGACCAGCUGGGGAAGAGGCUGUGCAAGAGCAAAACGGCCUGGAAUCUAUACCUCCACUCAGCACUUUUACAACUGGAUCCUGGCCCAGAUAGGCCUGCUUCCAGAUGUAAGUGCUCCUACGACAGCACGGACAUGGGGUUAUUAUCCAACCGCCGCACAACCCUGGGGUCAGUUUCCGACCGCUGCACGACCCACUCAGAAUCCAUGGCCAAGACCACCCGCCACACAGCCGCCAUGGACAAGACCACCUGCCACACAUCCACCAUGGACAAGACCACCUGCCACACAGCCACCGUGGACAAGACCACCUGCCACACAGCCACCGUGGACAAGACCACCCGCCACACAGCCACCGUGGACAAGACCAACCACCACUCAGAUUCCAAAGCCACCACCAACCACUGCUCCGAAGCCAAAGCCACCACCAACACCGGUAGACAAGUCCUGCCCAUUUCCAGUCAAGAAGCUGGUGGAAUUCUUCACUCGGAUGGAGAAGCUCCUGCAGGCCCUACAGGGAAAAACAGCUUGAGCAGCAGGAUGAACAGGAUCCAGUUCAGGCUGCAUGGAACCACGACCGUUUCCUGCCGGGGCAAUGCCUCGGUGCCAAAGGCCUGCUCUGUCCUGCUCACACUGCUCCUCUGCAUGUACACAAAUGCUAAUGUUGACUUAGUUGCUGAAAUAAAAAAUUGCCUUUUUUCACAGUUAAUGAUAUUUUCAGAUGAGUUCUGCCUCCUGGACAAGCCCAGGACCUUGGAAGUGAGACUCCAGGCAGACUACUUGGGCACAAAGGGAAAGAGUCACUUCAGAGGGCUGGAACUGUACCUGGUCAGAGAGAAGGGUGCUCAGAGCCACCACAGGAUGGAGAAGAUUGGCAUAUCUUCCUCUAGGAAGAGGACAGGAAAAAAUAAUGCCACGUGCAGACACCUUAUGGGGGAUACAUUAAGGCACACAAUCAGGCUCUAAGCCUUAGCUAGUGGAACAGGCCUGGGAAACUCCUGAGCAUGACAAGCAAAAUUGGUGACUGUCACAAAGAGAGGGAGAAGCUGGCAGGGGCUACAGUGCCCUAAGGAAGAGCCAGAUUUCACAGGUAGUGAAGUGGGGUUGAUAUGUGAGGUGGCCACACUUCACAGGCGCUCAAAGGAAGAGUUGGGGUCAUUUUGUGGAGAAGAACCUGGCAGGACCAUUGGGACCCAGUAAACUGCAUCAGUAAUGCCUUGGAAGGCCAAGGUGAGCUGUCUAACAGCACCUGCAACACCAAGUCUGUUCACAGGUGGGGCAAACCUUGGAGCCAGGGUGGAAAAAUAGCAGGGGUGGGUCCCCUGUUUGGGAGGAGACAAGGGAUGAGAAAGGGAAGAGUGGAGGAAGAUGAAGGGGGUGAAUAAACAUGGCAUAUGGAGAGAAAAGAGGAUCAAGGAACCAAGUGCACAGAUGCAAACUGCUGAUUGCUUUGCUGGUUUGAGCCCUGCACCUGAUCACCACAGGAUGGGAAAGAAGAUUCCUUGCCCUAGGCUUCCUGCAACAGAGUCUCAGAGGCCCAGUUCCUAGAGAAUGGCAUUUGGGACUGAGAGCAGAAGCAUCCUUCUCUGUCUAGAGCUUCCAAUUGCUGCACGUCUUUGGCCAAGCAUUCCAGGUGCCAUAACUUCCCUUGCCAGUGUGGGCCAGGAACAGCAAUAGAUCUCACAGACAGCGAGGACAGGGAGCCUACCAGAGGGGGUUGCUGUGGCUGGCAUGGCCAGUGUGGGCUGUGCUGCCUCUGCAUUUCCCUGUGCUUUGCUUGGGAAGGGUGGUGCUGCUUGGGAACGCUUGGCUUACUGGGCUUGUGCUUCGCUGGUCACCCACCAGGCCUGUAACCAGAUCAGCUCCUCCAGACCCAGACACACACAUGCUGCCUGCAGGAGCCAUGUGCUCUGGUGUGUGUAUUUUUGGGAAGAAGCUGGUGGCAAAUGGGUGCAGAGAGCAGGGUGAUAGUGAACUUCCCAAAGAGGCAGUGAUGCUACAAGGGGUGUUUUCUGGUGAGCUGUUGGCAGGCAGUGCACACCCUCAUCCCGCAAGCAGAGGGGCUACCAGAAGAUGGAGAGAGACUUUUUACAAGGGCAAGUAGUGAUAGGACAAGGGGGAAUGGCUCCAAAGUGGUAGUUUCAGAAUAGAUAUUAGGAAGAAAUUCUUCUCAACUCAGUGGCUUCAAAGCUGCUCUCAAACCAAAUGCCAGAACCAUCUCCUGCUCAGGGAUGGAAAAAGCCUGUCACAGUCAUUACUGUGACACAGGCACCUACCAGCAGCCUCCAACUGCACGUUCAAAUGCCAAGUGACAGGCAGAUGUUUGCAGUAAGAAAUACAGCCCUCUCAGAGCCUCUGGUUGCAUCACCCACCAGGACAGCAUUGCCUCAGCCUUCUCUGGCCAGAGCUUUGACCUGCACGAGUCACUUGAGCUCAGCCGGGCUCUGCACAUCGCUCUGACGAUGGGGCCCAAGCAGACCACGUGGCACUUCUGAAACUAGAGAGCUGUGCCUUUUUCCUGGCAUAAAUGUCUUUGUCAGUAGGAAGCUGGCAAGGAGAAAGGGAUGUAAGACAACUUAACCCCUGCCUAUUGUUUUCUCAGCAGCAUUUGUGUGGUGGAUUUAUAGACGUAAAAAAAAAAAAAAAAAAAAAAGAAAUCCACCGUUGGGAAUUUAAAAUAACACUGGGGAAACAGUGCAUGCUCUGCAAUAAUAGCUUUAUAAUUAGGUGGACUAUAAACCACAUAACUUGAAAUUUCAUUGACGAAGUGCACGGGGUUAUAAAAACGCAGUUAACAUCCCCGGCUCUUUGAUGCAGAAACUUCUACCUGCUUGCAGACGGGGGUGGAGUCGCACCUGCGUUGCCGCUGCCGUGAGAGGAUAUGGGAGCCGGGGCAAUGGGGAGGGCUCCGACCCCUGCUCACCCAGAGCUCCCCUCCCUGCCCGGCCCAGCCCGGUCUCCAUCGCCGGGAUAACGCUGCCCCCUCGCGGCCGGCGCGGGUCGCUCUGCGCUGCCCUUCGGUAAUGCCGAGGGAUGCCUUGGGCUUUGGUGUGCCGCCCGCCUGGAUCUGCCCGGGAACGCACUUACCAGGGCCAUUCCUACCCGGUACCGCGCGGGCAGCCCUGCCCUUCCCGCAGCCGAGCAGCGGCUGCCUCUGGUCACUCGCCUGACACGUCGUGUUGGUGCUGCCUCAGAUGCUGGGAAUUACUGGUGACACCUCUCUUGACUUGGUUAAAUAUUUUUUUUUCCACUUCGAGCCGUGUGUUUGCACAGUUAAGAUCAGCAAGGCACAUCUGCUUCCAUUCCCGCAGGCUGAUGUCCUUGGUACCUGGCCACCAGUUCUUAGUGUACAUCAACAUGCGCUGAUAUACAACCAGGCUGAUCUUUGACUCGCCUCUGAAACAGCGACACAUUUUCUUGACAACAAAUUAUGUUUUGACAUUAGAAGGUGGCAAUCUGUAAUGGAUAUUGCAAUCUGAAGAUUGAAAGAGACUAUCUGUGAUCUUUGUCCUCAGCCGAGUAAGCUGGAGUCUCUCUUCCCUCCUACACGUUAUUUGAUUGUGGGACGUAACCUUGGGAUGUACUAAUAGUCAUUAGUCAGAGCUGAUAUAUCUGUUACAGGCCUGCCCUGCUUGGGAAAGGAGACGUUCUCUGGAACAGCAGUAAAUCAGCAAAACAUGCACUUAAAUAUACAGUAAAAUGUGGUUUGACACACAGUCCUUCAUACAUCAUAUAACAAAAUGCUUUACUGAGAGAGUCACAUAUACACUAAUGAGGAAAGAGGGCUGCUGAGACGAGACCUGCAAAGGGGAAGCGAUUCCGUGGCGGGAGGGAACCAGGAGAGAUCCCUGAGCAGCUCCUGGUCCAAGGUAAGUUGUGACUUGCCAAGUCCUUUCCUGCCCUCCUAUAGUUGAUGUGGUGCCUUGGUGGAGCUGGCAGGAAAGAGGGGAAGGGAAAGGAAGGAAGGGAGCCCUGUGGAGCUAUCCAGGCACAAUGAGCCUUGAGACCCUGGCAGGGCCAGUGGAGGGGUCCAGGUUGCCAGGAGGAGCGAGGGGUUUGUUCUGCCGCUAACAAGCUUUGCAGGUCAGGUCACCACUUUGUCAUUAGUUUUUGAUGCUAAGCAGCUCUUUUUGCAGCUGAAUGUUGCAGGAAUUGUUAGAGCAUCUCCUUUCUUACAGGCAUUUCUCAUUGUUAUUUAAAUCUAAGUGAAUAAAUAACACAUGCAUCCUUAACUCUGCCAAGGAACUGGCUGAAGCAGGGGCAAACUCUCAGGGGUGAGGGAGAGGACAAACCCUCACCCUCAGAAAGGCAGCCCAGGCAUCAUGUCCCUGUGCUCAGAUCACUGGGGCAUGUGCUGAAUUUUUUUUUAUUCUCUGGGUUCCUGAUCCUGCUGCUUUGCCUCCCUUGGUUUGUGUGGUUUUAAGUAGUUGCAGAAACUGUGCCAAAAGGGCUGGCCAAGCCACCCAGCCAGACCUCCACAAUGCCUGGGGCUAGUCCCGUGUGGCUCUGGGCGAGCACUGCCUCUGCUGAGGGCCUGAGCUCACACAUCCCUGCUGACUGUGACAGCUGGGCCCACAGGGCCCCGUGGCUUCUCCUGUGACCUGACAAAAUCAAUGCAUUUUUGGCUUUUUUGGCAUAUUAGUGACAAUUCAACCAAUGCAGAAAAUGUCCACAAUGACUUAACUGUGCUGUUUAAUGCAAUCUCUCCACAUUACACUGAGUGCCACUAAUUUGUUGGAGGGCUGCUGUCCUCUACUAACUGCUGUCAGGGUGGACAUCUCUAAUAGAGCAGGUGCAGCACUGAGUGAGGCAACAUCUUGUCUGACACAGACGGGGAACAGAUUUAUGGACAGGCUUGAGGAUGGGCAAAACCUAACUGUUUUCAGAUACCGUGGAAAAGCAGGAAGAAUUAGUGAUGGUGUUCUGUGCUCAGCAUGCAGGACUGGUGGCUAUGGGGCAGUGGUUUACAUUUUUUGUGCAGCAGAGGGAAAGCAGGAAUCAUGGCGACACGAGAUGGGAAAAUGAGUGUUCAAGUAAGGGUGUGGUGAAUGGCCAUGAUUAUAUGCAAGUUAAUUUUUUUUUAAUUAUUAUUUUUAGUUAGGAUAGCUCAAGCAUUGUAAUGGCAUAGAUGGUAAUGGUAAUGGAUUUAAGCCAUAGACAUUUUCACUGCCAAAACUCUGUUUGAUGCCUGUUUGACUGGUCAGGAGAUAGGCUCAGGAUUAGGUGUUCAUUAUCUGCUUUCCACAGCUUUGGUCAGUAAUUCUUACCCAAAACCAUGUCACUUUGCUGAGGGAUGGCAACCUGACAUGGGCCACAGACAUCUGCAGGCUGACCUUCACUGGAGGAACUGAGAUUCCCAGUUCCAGCAGAACAUAUGUAACCAACACAGUUGUGCACCUAGAGAGGAGACAGGGCAAGUCUUUCACUUGUCUCUUCAGUAAAUAUUAGAAUGGUUUGUGCCUUUCUUUUCCUAAUUUUGUAAUAUUUUUUCCCUCCAAAAUCUGUUCCAAGUGUGAGCACAGAUUAAUUUCCAUGUAAGACAAGUCACUUAAGAAUGGGGGGGUGUGAAUGGUUUGCCUUUUAAUAAAUUAAUCAGUGCUCAUGUUUUUAACAGCCUUAAGAAGAGAUAAAACCUCCGUUCCUCUUGUCAUGGAAACUACAAUAAAUGAAACAUCAUUCAUAAGUCAAGGAAAAGACACAAGUACUUUAGGUCUCAGUCAAGUCCGCAAAGUAGUAAAACUCAUUACUAAUUCAAAGGAGCUGGGUCCCUCAGAGCUCACCAUUACUGGCUUUACUAGUAAUAAUACUGGAGCAGCAUAAAUUUAACAGAAGGCAGAGUUUGGCAGAAGGUAGCAUGGUGUUGAGGUGCCACUAUCCUAAUCAAAAACCUCCAUGAGGCCUUUACUUGCUCCAGUCAGCCUGGCAAGAAGCAGUGCUGGGUUGUGAGGAAAGAGCUGGGGAGGGGAAGGUUAUGGUUUUAUAACUAUAGCAGUCUGGUAACAUUAAACCUAGAGAGACAGUGGAGGAGGCCAUAGGUAUUUGUAAUUUAUUCAUAAACAGCUAUGCCAUCAUAAGAAACUUUUUAAAAUAAUGUGUGAUAUUCUUAAAGUAUUUAAGAGUUUGUUGACCUAUUUUCUCAGUUAAUUAGAAUUUUUUUGGCUGCAUUAACAAUGACUUGAAUGCAGUCUGCUUUAGUUGUUACACAGUUCAGCUAUCCUGGGUUACAGAAACUUGAUUUCUUUCUGAGACACAUGACACAGGAGAUGAAUGUCAUUGUGUCUGGACUUGUACUUAAAAACCUCUAGACUUACUAGUAGGUAGCGCAUAAGCUCAACUUAUUGAAUAUGAAACCAUUCACCUAACAUCCUUUUGAGUCCUAAAACAAAUGUCUUUUGAAUUACAGUGCUACCCUUGGUUUUUCUGCAGCAGAAGUGCCAUGGUGCAGUUGCCUUUCUCUUCAAAGCACAGUGGUUAAGACCAGCAAGCUCAUCUCUACAAGCUGCAUUUGAGGUGUCCAGGACUGUAAUGUUUUCCAAGGGUGUUUUAGUGGCAUCCUGCAGAAAACCACACCGUUGGAGAAAAGUUUAUACAAACUCAGAGCACAAAGAUGCUGUUAACUUUCCAUGCAGCCUUCACUGGGGAUCUCCAAAGUGACCUGGGAAGGGUACUUCUCAGUCCGUGUUUCUGCACAGGGUGUUACCGAGCUGGCUCAAAGUAAAAAACUCAGUAAAUGCUGCCUGUCAGGCUGCAACAAGCUUCCUCAUCAGGUGCAAAUGGACAGGAAAGAUUUUCUUCCAUUUGCACCUGAUGAGGAGGCAUGUUUUUCCCCCAAAAGCUGGUGUCUGCCACCCUGUGUUUC